rnacentral:sRNA from 1 species
CGCGCGGCCCGGCCCUUGACGCCGGUACGAAGAAGCAGUUCGCCGUCGGCGGCGUCCAGGGUCCACACGUCGGUCACAGACCGACUGUAUUCACGAUUCCUUG